rnacentral:rRNA from 1 species
GACGUAGGGCGCGAGCGUUGUCCGGAUUUAUUGGGCGUAAAGAGCUCGUAGGCGGCUGCCGCGUCGGUUGUGAAAGCCCGGGGCUUAACCCCGGGUCUGCAGUCGACACGGGCAGGCUAGAGUUCGGCAGGGGGAGACUGGAAUUCCUGGUGUAGCGGUGAAAUGCGCAGAUAUCAGGAGGAACACCGGUGGCGAAGGCGGGUCUCUGGGCCGAUACUGACGCUGAGGAGCGAAAGCGUGGGGAGCGAACAGG